rnacentral:rRNA from 1 species
GCGGUAAUUCCAGCUCCAAUAGCGUAUAUUAAAGUUGUUGCAGUUAAAACGCUCGUAGUUGAACUUUGGUCUUGGCUGGGCGGUCUUUGCGAAUGCAUAGCACUUCUCUGGCUGAGACUUUCCUUCUGGCGAACUAUUGUGCUAUUUAUUUAGUGCAAUAGGGAACCAGGACUUUUACUUUGAAAAAAUUAGAGUGUUUAAAGCAGGCGUCUGCCCGAAUACAUUAGCAUGGAAUAAUAAAAUAGGACUUUGGUUUUAUUUUGUUGGUUUUCGAAACCGAAGUAAUGAUUAAUAGGGAUAGUUGGGGGCGUUACUAUUGAGGAGUCAGAGGUGAAAUUCUUGGAUUUCCUCAAGAGUAUCUACUGCGAAGGCAUUCGCCAAGGAUGUUUUCAUUAAUCAAGAACGAAAGUUGGGGGAUCGAAGACGAUCAGAUACCGUCGUAGUCUCAACAGUAAACUAUGCCGACUUGGGAUCGGACAAUGUUCAAUUUUGACUUGUUCGGCACCACAUGAGAAAUCAAAGUUUUUAGGUUCCGGGGGGAGUAUGGUCGCAAGGCUGAAACUUAAAGGAAUUGACGGAAGGGCACCACCAGGAGUGGAGCCUGCGGCUUAAUUUGACUCAACACGGGGAAACUCACCAGGUCCAGACAAAAUAAGGAUUGACAGAUUGAGAGCUCUUUCUUGAUUUUUUGGGUGGUGGUGCAUGGCCGUUCUUAGUUGGUGGAGUGAUUUGUCUGGUUAAUUCCGUUAACGAACGAGACCUUAACCUGCUAAAUAGUUGCAUUCACUUUGGUGGAUGACCAACUUCUUAGAGGGACUAUAGACGUUUAGUCUAUGGAAGUUUGAGGCAAUAACAGGUCUGUGAUGCCCUUAGAUGUUCUGGGCCGCACGCGCGCUACACUGACAACAGCAGCAAGUAAUUCACCUUGGCCGGGAGGUCUGGGUAAUCUUCUGAAAUGUUGUCGUGCUGGGGAUAGUCCUUUGCAAUUAUUGGACUUCAACGAGGAAUUCCUAGUAAGCGUGAGUCAUCAGCUCGCGUUGAUUACGUCCCUGCCCUUUGUACACACCGCCCGUCGCUAGUACCGAUUGAAUGGCUUAGUGAGACCCUCGGAUUGGCGGUUCUAUGGUGGCAACACCAUUAAACUGCCGAGAAGUUGGUCAAACUUGGUCAUUUAGAGGAACUAAAAGUCGUAACAAGGUAACCGUAGGUGAACCUGCGGUUGGAUCAUUA